rnacentral:rRNA from 1 species
AAAGCUCAAAUUUGAAAUCUGGCACUUUCAGUGUCCGAGUUGUAAUUUGAAGAAGGUAUCUUUGGGUCUGGCUCUUGUCUAUGUUUCUUGGAACAGAACGUCACAGAGGGUGAGAAUCCCGUGCGAUGAGAUGUCCCAGACCUAUGUAAAGUUCCUUCGAAGAGUCGAGUUGUUUGGGAAUGCAGCUCUAAGUGGGUGGUAAAUUCCAUCUAAAGCUAAAUAUUGGCGAGAGACCGAUAGCGAACAAGUACAGUGAUGGAAAGAUGAAAAGAACUUUGAAAAGAGAGUGAAAAAGUACGUGAAAUUGUUGAAAGGGAAGGGCUUGAGAUCAGACUUGGUAUUUUGUAUGUUACUCUCUCGGGGGUGGCCUCUACAGUUUACCGGGCCAGCAUCAGUUUGAGCGGUAGGAUAAGUGCAAAGAAAUGUGGCACUGCUUCGGUAGUGUGUUAUAGUCUUUGUCGAUACUGCCAGCUUAGACUGAGGACUGCGGCUUCGGCCUAGGAUGUUGGCAUAAUGAUCUU